GGGGCCUUGAAACAUGCAGUAAUAGCUUGAUCUCUGGAAGGAAUGGUCAUCUGAAUUAAACGCACCCAUUCCAGUCCAUUUUAGUUCACUGAUUCCUAAAGUGUCGAUGUUCACUCUUUCCAUCUCCUGUUUGACCACUUCCAAUUUAUCUUGAUUCAUGGACCUAACAUUCCAGGUUUCUGUGCAGUAUUGUUCUUUACAGCGCUGGACUUUACUAUCAUCAUGGGUCACAUCCACAACUGGGCACUGUUUUCACUUUGGCUUCGUCUAGUCAUUGUUUCUGGAGUUAUUUCUCCAUUCUUCUCCAGUAGCGUAUUGGGCACCUACCGACCUGGGGAGUUCAUCUUUCAGUGUCAUAUCUUUUUGCCUUUUCAUACUGUUUAUGGGGAUCUCAAGGCAAGAAUACUGAAGGGGUUUGCCAUUCCCUUCUCCAGUGGACCACAUUUUGUCAGAACUCUCCACCAUGACCCAUCUGUCUUGGUGGCCCUACACGGCAUGGCUCAUAGUUUCAUUGAGUUAGACAAGUUGGGCAAAUUUAAUUCCAAUGACCAUUAUAUCAACUCUUGUGGGCAAGAAUCCCUUGGAAGGAAUGGAGUAGCCCUAUAGUCAACAAGAGUCCAAAGUGCAGUACUUGGGUGCAAUCUCAAAAACAACAGAAUGAUCUGUUUGUUUCUAAGGAAAACCAUUCAAUAUCACAGUAAUCCAAGUCUAUGCCCCAGGCACCAAUGCAAAAGAAGCUGAAGUUGAACAGUUCUAUGAUGACCUAUAAGACCUUCUAGAACUAACACCAAAAAAAGAUGUUCUUUUCAUCAUAGGGGACUGGAAUGCAAAAGUAGGAAAUCAAGAGACACCUGGAGUAACAGGCAAGUUUGGCCUUGGAGUACAAAAUGAAGCAGGCAAAGGCUAACAGUUUUGCCAAGAGAACACACUGGUCAUAGCAAACACCCUCAUCCAACAACACAAGAGAUGACUCCUCACAUAGACAUCAGUUCAGUUCACUUCAGUCGCUCAGUUGUGUCUGAAUCUUUGUGAUCCCAUGGACUGCAGCUCACCAGGCUUCCCUGUCCAUCACCAACUCCUGGAGCUUGCUCAAACUGAUGUCAAUCAAGUCAGUAAUGCCAUCCAAUAAUCUUAUCCUCUGUCAUCCCCUUGUCUUCCCGCCUUCAAUCUUUCCCAGCAUCAGGGUCUUUUUCAAUGAGUCAGUUUUUCACAUCAGGUAGCCAAAGUAUUGGAGUUUCAGCUUCAGCAUCAGUCCUUCCAAUGAAUAUUCAGGGUUGGCUUCCUUUAGGAUGGACUGGUUUGAUAUCCUUGAAGUCCAAGUGACUCUUUUUGUGACCCCAUGGACUAUUAUAUAGUCCAAGGAAUUCUCCACGCCAGAAUACUGGAAUGGGUAGCCUUUCCUUUCUCCAAGGGAUAUUCCCAACCCAGGGAUCAAACUCACAUCUCCCGUGUUGCAGGUGGAUUCUUUACCAGCUGAGUCACAAGGGAAGCCCCACAUAGAAAUCAGCUGAUGGUCAAUGGCGAAAUCAGAUUGAUUAAAAUCUUUGCAGCUAAAGAUGGAGAAGUUCUAUACAGUCAGCAAAAACAAGACCCAGAGCUGACUGUGGCUCAGAUCAUGAACUCCUUACUGCCAAAUUCAGACUUAAAUUGAAGAAAGUGGGGAACACUACUGGGCCAUUCAGGUACGACCUAAGUCAAAUCCCUUACA
ensembl:lncRNA